CUACUUUCGAUGUCUUUUUCCUUAUCUCUACAUGUUAGUUAGCUCUAAUAUGCAUGAACAUUUUACGCACGCAGCUUCCACUGGAUCCUUAUUAUAAUUGAGCCUGAAAGAAGCCACAUCACUGUCUUCGAUUCGUUGAGGAAAGAUCCGGUGGAGUACCAUGAAAUGCAAGACAUGCUAGGCUUGUAAUAAUUAUGAACCUUUAUCUAUAUGUAAAAGUUUAUUUCCUAAAUUUUAUCCCUGUUACACUAUAUCAUUCAUUAUUCUAAUCCGCAGCGCAUGGAAACAAUUCAUAAGGACACACAAAGGUCCAUUGAAAGAGAAACUUACAUGGAACACAGACUUCCCGGUACGUAUGAAGUCUGCACAUUUAUUACAUUGUAUAACAAGAAUAUUUCAUAACUUAUUUUUUUCGGCACUGAAGUGUUUAAGAUAGGAACCCGAGAAUAAUCUAUGUGGCUACUACAUCUGUGAGCACAUGCACAGUUUUAUGGGACCCAAGGGACUAAAGAUGACGCCGCACAACUUUAAAGUACGUAAAAUAAAUCUAUUACUAGUUAAUUAUUUUCUAGCUCCUUAUAUGUAUUUGUUCGUGUAACAUUCACAAAUUUCCAAAUUAUAGAUGUUAAAUAUUCAACAAGGACUGUUGAAGGAAGAAAGAGUAGCGGCAAUAUGUGAAGAUCUCAUUGAAUUCCUAAUGGACGAGGUGGUAGAUCCAAAAGGAGAAUUUUAUUACGAUGGACGACAAUUAGACACUCCAAUCAGCAACACAUCGACAGGAAGAUUGUAGAUAGAUACUUUGAUUUAUUUGUAUAUAUAAUAUGCGCUAAUUAUGAUCGAUUUGUACUGGUUGAAUUGUGUAUAAGAAUUGUGUAUAUAUAUAGUAAUUGUAUAAUUACAAAUCUCAUUCGUGUUUAAAUACUAGUUGAUUUCAUUCUAAAAAAUCUCAACUACUAAAGGUUAACAAAAGGGUCGUGGUACUACGUACGUGAUGCAUGCAUGAAAAAUUCUAAAAAAUCUCAACUACUAAAGGUUAACAAAAGGGUCGUGGUACUACGUACGUGAUGCAUGCAUGAAAAAUUCAGGCGCCAGGCAGGUGCCAUGCAGGAUGCCAUUUAAUCCCGGUUGGAAUCCAGCCGGGACUAAAGGGUAACCCUUUACUCCCGGUUGGGAAACCUAACUGGGACUAAAAGGACACCCUUUACUCCCG
rnacentral:lncRNA from 1 species